rnacentral:rRNA from 1 species
AGCAGGCGCGUAAAUUGCCCGAAUCCUGACACAGGGAGGUAGUGACAAGAAAUAACAAUACAGGGCUACAUCUAGUCUUGUAAUUGGAAUGAGUACAAUUUACUUCUCUUAACGAUGAUCAAUUGGAGGGCAAGUCUGGUGCCAGCAGCCGCGGUAAUUCCAGCUCCAAUAGCGUAUAUUAAAGUUGUUGCAGUUAGAACGCUCGUAGUCGGAUUUCGGGGCAAGCCUUCCGGUCUGCCGAUGGGUAUGCACUGGUCGGCGCGUCCUUCCUUCCGGAGACCGUGCCUACUCUUAACUGAGCGGGGGCGGGAGACGGAACGUUUACUUUGAAAAAAUCAGAGUGUUUCAAGCAGGCAGCUUGCUCUUGCAUGGAUUAGCAUGGGAUAAUGAAAUAGGACUUUGGUGCUAUUUUGUUGGUUUCGAACACCGAAAUAAUGAUGAGAAGGGACAGUCAGGGGCACUCGUAUUCCGCCGAGAGAGGUGAAAUUCUCAGACCCGCGGAAGACGAACCACUGCGAAAGCAUUUGCCAGGGAUGUUUUCACUGAUCAAGAACGAAAGUUAGGGGAUCGAAGAUGAUCAGAUACCGUCGUAGUCUUAACCAUAAACCAUGCCGACUAGGGAUUGGAGGAUGUUCACUGAUUGACUCCUUCAGCACCUUACGGGAAACUAAAGUCUUUGGGUUCCGGGGGGAGUAUGGUCGCAAGGCUGAAACUUAAAGGAAUUGACGGAAGGGCACCACCAGGUGUGGAGCCUGCGGCUUAAUUUGACUCAACACGGGGAAACUUACCAGGUCCAGACAAUGUGAGGAUUGACAGAUUGAGAGCUCUUUCUUGAUUCGAUGGGUGGUGGUGCAUGGCCGUUCUUAGUUGGUGGAGUGAUUUGUCUGGUUAAUUCCGUUAACGAACGAGACCUUAGCCUGCUAAAUAGUGACGCGAACACUUCGUUCGUGGAGCCACUUCUUAGAGGGACACUUGUCUUCACAAGUGGAAGUUUGAGGCAAUAAC